rnacentral:rRNA from 1 species
GGUUAAGCGACUAAGCGUACACGGUGGAUGCCCUGGCAGUCAGAGGCGAUGAAGGACGUGCUAAUCUGCGAUAAGCGUCGGUAAGGUGAUAUGAACCGUUAUAACCGGCGAUUUCCGAAUGGGGAAACCCAGUGUGUUUCGACACACUAUCAUUAACUGAAUCCAUAGGUUAAUGAGGCGAACCGGGGGAACUGAAACAUCUAAGUACCCCGAGGAAAAGAAAUCAACCGAGAUUCCCCCAGUAGCGGCGAGCGAACGGGGAGCAGCCCAGAGCCUGAAUCAGUGUGUGUGUUAGUGGAAGCGUCUGGAAAGGCGCGCGAUACAGGGUGACAGCCCCGUACACAAAAAUGCACAUGCUGUGAGCUCGAUGAGUAGGGCGGGACACGUGGUAUCCUGUCUGAAUAUGGGGGGACCAUCCUCCAAGGCUAAAUACUCCUGACUGACCGAUAGUGAACCAGUACCGUGAGGGAAAGGCGAAAAGAACCCCGGCGAGGGGAGUGAAAAAGAACCUGAAACCGUGUACGUACAAGCAGUGGGAGCACGCUUAGGCGUGUGACUGCGUACCUUUUGUAUAAUGGGUCAGCGACUUAUAUUCUGUAGCAAGGUUAACCGAAUAGGGGAGCCGAAGGGAAACCGAGUCUUAACUGGGCGUUAAGUUGCAGGGUAUAGACCCGAAACCCGGUGAUCUAGCCAUGGGCAGGUUGAAGGUUGGGUAACACUAACUGGAGGACCGAACCGACUAAUGUUGAAAAAUUAGCGGAUGACUUGUGGCUGGGGGUGAAAGGCCAAUCAAACCGGGAGAUAGCUGGUUCUCCCCGAAAGCUAUUUAGGUAGCGCCUCGUGAAUUCAUCUCCGGGGGUAGAGCACUGUUUCGGCAAGGGGGUCAUCCCGACUUACCAACCCGAUGCAAACUGCGAAUACCGGAGAAUGUUAUCACGGGAGACACACGGCGGGUGCUAACGUCCGUCGUGAAGAGGGAAACAACCCAGACCGCCAGCUAAGGUCCCAAAGUCAUGGUUAAGUGGGAAACGAUGUGGGAAGGCCCAGACAGCCAGGAUGUUGGCUUAGAAGCAGCCAUCAUUUAAAGAAAGCGUAAUAGCUCACUGGUCGAGUCGGCCUGCGCGGAAGAUGUAACGGGGCUAAACCAUGCACCGAAGCUGCGGCAGCGACACUAUGUGUUGUUGGGUAGGGGAGCGUUCUGUAAGCCUGUGAAGGUGUACUGUGAGGUAUGCUGGAGGUAUCAGAAGUGCGAAUGCUGACAUAAGUAACGAUAAAGCGGGUGAAAAGCCCGCUCGCCGGAAGACCAAGGGUUCCUGUCCAACGUUAAUCGGGGCAGGGUGAGUCGACCCCUAAGGCGAGGCCGAAAGGCGUAGUCGAUGGGAAACAGGUUAAUAUUCCUGUACUUGGUGUUACUGCGAAGGGGGGACGGAGAAGGCUAUGUUGGCCGGGCGACGGUUGUCCCGGUUUAAGCGUGUAGGCUGGUUUUCCAGGCAAAUCCGGAAAAUCAAGGCUGAGGCGUGAUGACGAGGCACUACGGUGCUGAAGCAACAAAUGCCCUGCUUCCAGGAAAAGCCUCUAAGCAUCAGGUAACAUCAAAUCGUACCCCAAACCGACACAGGUGGUCAGGUAGAGAAUACCAAGGCGCUUGAGAGAACUCGGGUGAAGGAACUAGGCAAAAUGGUGCCGUAACUUCGGGAGAAGGCACGCUGAUAUGUAGGUGAAGUCCCUCGCGGAUGGAGCUGAAAUCAGUCGAAGAUACCAGCUGGCUGCAACUGUUUAUUAAAAACACAGCACUGUGCAAACACGAAAGUGGACGUAUACGGUGUGACGCCUGCCCGGUGCCGGAAGGUUAAUUGAUGGGGUCAGCGCAAGCGAAGCUCUUGAUCGAAGCCCCGGUAAACGGCGGCCGUAACUAUAACGGUCCUAAGGUAGCGAAAUUCCUUGUCGGGUAAGUUCCGACCUGCACGAAUGGCGUAAUGAUGGCCAGGCUGUCUCCACCCGAGACUCAGUGAAAUUGAACUCGCUGUGAAGAUGCAGUGUACCCGCGGCAAGACGGAAAGACCCCGUGAACCUUUACUAUAGCUUGACACUGAACAUUGAGCCUUGAUGUGUAGGAUAGGUGGGAGGCUUGGAAGUGUGGACGCCAGUCUGCAUGGAGCCGACCUUGAAAUACCACCCUUUAAUGUUUGAUGUUCUAACGUUGACCCGUAAUCCGGGUUGCGGACAGUGUCUGGUGGGUAGUUUGACUGGGGCGGUCUCCUCCUAAAGAGUAACGGAGGAGCACGAAGGUUGGCUAAUCCUGGUCGGACAUCAGGAGGUUAGUGCAAUGGCAUAAGCCAGCUUGACUGCGAGCGUGACGGCGCGAGCAGGUGCGAAAGCAGGUCAUAGUGAUCCGGUGGUUCUGAAUGGAAGGGCCAUCGCUCAACGGAUAAAAGGUACUCCGGGGAUAACAGGCUGAUACCGCCCAAGAGUUCAUAUCGACGGCGGUGUUUGGCACCUCGAUGUCGGCUCAUCACAUCCUGGGGCUGAAGUAGGUCCCAAGGGUAUGGCUGUUCGCCAUUUAAAGUGGUACGCGAGCUGGGUUUAGAACGUCGUGAGACAGUUCGGUCCCUAUCUGCCGUGGGCGCUGGAGAACUGAGGGGGGCUGCUCCUAGUACGAGAGGACCGGAGUGGACGCAUCACUGGUGUUCGGGUUGUCAUGCCAAUGGCACUGCCCGGUAGCUAAAUGCGGAAGAGAUAAGUGCUGAAAGCAUCUAAGCACGAAACUUGCCCCGAGAUGAGUUCUCCCUGACUCCUUGAGAGUCCUGAAGGAACGUUGAAGACGACGACGUUGAUAGGCCGGGUGUGUAAGCGCAGCGAUGCGUUGAGCUAACCGGUACUAAUGAACCGUGAGGCUUAACCUU